UGAAGAAGGCCUUCGGGUUGUAAAGCUCUUUUGUCAGGGAAGAAACGGGAUGUCCUAAUACGAUGUCCUAAUGACGGUACCUGAAGAAUAAGCACCGGCUAACUACGUGCCAGCAGCCGCGGUAAUACGUAGGGUGCAAGCGUUAAUCGGAAUUACUGGGCGUAAAGCGUGCGCAGGCGGUUAUGUAAGACAGGUGUGAAAUCCCCGGGCUUAACCUGGGAAUGGCAUUUGUGACUGCAUAACUGGAGUGUGUCAGAGGGGGGUAGAAUUCCACGUGUAGCAGUGAAAUGCGUAGAGAUGUGGAGGAAUACCGAUGGCGAAGGCAGCCCCCUGGGAUAACACUGACGCUCAUGCACGAAAGCGUGGGGAGCAAACAGGAUUAGAUACCCUGGUAGUCCACGCCCUAAACGAUGUCUACUAGUUGUCGGGUCUUAAUUGACUUGGUAACGCACCUAACGCGUGAAGUAGACCGCCUGGGGAGUACGGUCGCAAGAUUAAAACUCAAAGGAAUUGACGGGGACCCGCACAAGCGGUGGAUGAUGUGGAUUAAUUCCAUGCAACGCGAAGAACCUUACCUACCCUUGACAUGUACAGAAUCCCGAAUAGAU
rnacentral:rRNA from 1 species